rnacentral:rRNA from 1 species
GAUGAACGCUGGCGGCGUGCCUAAUACAUGCAAGUCGAGCGAACAGACGAGGAGCUUGCUCCUCUGACGUUAGCGGCGGACGGGUGAGUAACACGUGGAUAACCUACCUAUAAGACUGGGAUAACUUCGGGAAACCGGAGCUAAUACCGGAUAAUAUAUUGAACCGCAUGGUUCAAUAGUGAAAGACGGUUUUGCUGUCACUUAUAGAUGGAUCCGCGCGGCAUUAGCUAGUUGGUAAGGUAACGGCUUACCAAGGCAACGAUGCGUAGCCGACCUGAGAGGGUGAUCGGCCACACUAGAACUGAGACACGGUCCAGACUCCUACGGGAGGCAGCAGUAGGGAAUCUUCCGCAAUGGGCGAAAGCCUGACGGAGCAACGCCGCGUGAGUGAUGAAGGUCUUCGGAUCGUAAAACUCUGUUAUUAGGGAAGAACAAAUGUGUAAGUAACUAUGCACGUCUUGACGGUACCUAAUCAGAAAGCCACGGCUAACUACGUG